rnacentral:rRNA from 1 species
AAAACAUUGCCUUUAGAAACACCAUUAUAGGUAAAUCUGCCCAGUGAUCAACUUUCAACGGCCGCGGUAUUCCUGACCGUGCUAAGGUAGCACAAUAAUGAGCCUCUUAAUUAGGGGAUAGAAUGAACGAAUCAACAAGAAAAAAGCUGUCUCUCCUUUGGAAGACGAAAUUUAAGUCCAGGUGAAAAUUCCUGGAUCUAAAAUAAAGACAGAAAGACCCUACAAGCUUAUAUUUUUAUAAAACUCUAUUUCAGAAAAUAUUUAAUUGGGGCGAUUGUAAGUAAAAACACUUAAUACCCUCAGGACAAUAAUCCACUAAAUUUAUCUAAAAACAAAUAAGUAAGCUACUGUAGGGAUAACAGGCUAAUAUUUCCCGUGAGCACAAAUCAACGGAACUGUUUAGCACCUCGAUGUUGGCUUAGGAAAACUAUUUUAUGCAGAAGUAAAAAAAGAGGGUUUGUUCAACCUUUAAUUUCCUACAUGAUCUGA